rnacentral:piRNA from 1 species
UGAAAACUAGUCUCCCAGGAAAGAGUUUCC